rfam:Kitasatospora griseola strain MF730-N6 RKJC_7, whole genome shotgun sequence.
UUGCGUGUAGCUCAAUGGUCAGAGCCUCGGUCUGAUAUGCCGAAGGUUGCCGGUUCAAAUCCGGUCACGCAAA